rnacentral:rRNA from 1 species
UCCCCUAGCAAAUCUCAAAAAACCGUCUCAGUUCGGAUUGGGCUCUGCAACUCGAGCCCAUGAAGUUGGAAUCGCUAGUAAUCGUGGAUCAGCAUGCCACGGUGAAUACGUUCCCGGGCCUUGUACACACCGCCCGUCACACCAUGGGAGUUGGCUUUACCCGAAGGCGUUUCGCUAACCGCAAGGAGGCAGGCGACCACGGUAGGGUCAGCGACUGGGGUGAAG